AGGGUUUGAUUAUGGCUCAGAUUGAACGCUGGCGGCAGGCCUAACACAUGCAAGUCGAGCGGAUGAAGGGGGCUUGCUCCUGGAUUCAGCGGCGGACGGGUGAGUAAUGCCUAGGAAUCUGCCUGGUAGUGGGGGAUAACGUCCGGAAACGGGCGCUAAUACCGCAUACGUCCUGAGGGAGAAAGUGGGGGAUCUUCGGACCUCACGCUAUCAGAUGAGCCUAGGUCGGAUUAGCUAGUUGGUGGGGUAAAGGCCUACCAAGGCGACGAUCCGUAACUGGUCUGAGAGGAUGAUCAGUCACACUGGAACUGAGACACGGUCCAG
rnacentral:rRNA from 1 species